rnacentral:rRNA from 1 species
UACGUAGGGAGCAAGCGUUGUCCGGAAUCAUUGGGCGUAAAGCGCGCGUAGGCGGCCCUGUAAGUCCGUUGUGAAAGUCAAAGGCUCAACCUUUGAAAGCCGAUGGAUACUGCAGGGCUAGAGUCCGGAAGGGGCGAGUGGAAUUCCUGGUGUAGCGGUGAAAUGCGCAGAUAUCAGGAGGAACACCAAUGGCGAAGGCAGCUCGCUGGGACGUGACUGACGCUGAGACGCGAAAGCGUGGGGAGCAAACAGG